CAGAAUCCUCCAGAAGCAAACACUUGGUGACAGUGGUGAGGAAAAACAUCCUUUUAACAGGCAGAAACCCCAGAUAUCCUACUACUGCAGCUGUUCGUACCAAUAAUAGAAACCUCCACCAUCCAUGUAACUAUAUGAUGAACACUAGCACCACUAUAUGGAUAAAUAAUAAACGAAUAAUGAUGUCAUUCUCUCAAAUAUAUCUGACCAAACUGUCACUGGGAGGAGACUGUAUUCUCCUUCAGUGUGUUCCAGUCAAGUCAACUUUAUUUAUAAAGCACUUUUAAACAACACAGAUGGCCAAAGUGCUGUACACAGACAUAAAAACAUAGAAAAGAAUAAACAUAAUUAUACAUUAAAACAAUAAAAGCCAAAGAGAAAAAUAUGUUUUAAGAGAGGAUGUGAAAACAGAAAUGGAGUCAUCCUGCCUGAUGUGCAAAGGUAGUUCAUUCCACAGUUUGGGGACAGUGGCUGAAAAAGCCCUGGCACCUCUGAGCACAACAUACAGUGGAAUCCAGAAUUCCAACAGUGAAUCUCAGAUCUCCCUCCCAAACAGCCCCACACCGUCAUCAACCACCUGUGGCUGUGAUGCAGUUCAUCAGGUCGUCGCUGAUUCAAACGAGUUGAUUAUGUGCGUGUUCUGAACCAAAUCCAGCCCUGGUGACGCCUCUAGACACACAAGGUCGAAGAACGUCAGGUGAAGUCAUCGAAAAACAUCCCAGCUAAGAUCUGUGCAUCCCUAGUGAACUCGUAGGAUUAACACUUCACUGUUUUGCCACCGUUUACAGAAAACUCAAAUGUAUCUUUGUGUGUUUGUUAAUCACAGUUUUUUAGUGCAAGUAGAUCACAAAAUGCUUACUUUUUAAUGAACGUCAGGCCUGGGCCUCUAAUGCAGCUGUUUGGAAAGCAUAAGAAAUACUUUCAAAAACAUAAAGGCUGUCAUUACUUUACUGAGCUACUUUAAAUAAGACACUUUUAAGAAGUCAUGACUUACUUUUUAGUCGUAUUGGAUCAUAUUACAUUUAGUACCUUACUUUUUUUUUUUUUUUCCAAUAAAAUAUUUGGAAGAUUGUUCUGAAUAAGGCACCAGUGUCCAGUGGAGCCUUGAAGUGUACUUGUUAUGAAGACUGUCUCUGCUAAGCUGCCUACGUGGCCAAUAUGUAUUAAAUGGUAUGUGGUGUGUAAGAUAUGGUACUUGAAUCAUAGAUAUGUAUACGGUCUGUAUCCUAAAGUAAUGACUGUGGUACUAGGUGAGGGUGUGACAAUGACUGAAAUGAUUAACAUAAAUUUUGAGAUGUUUUAUUCUGUGUGAGAGCCGCAGAGGAUCCUGGGUAUUGUAGUGGGGCAACAGAUGUGAAGAAAUCAUAGAUCUAGUUUUGGACCAUCUAUUCUUAUGACAAUUGAGAGGUUAUUAAAGGUCACACAUUAAAAAUAAACAAUAUUUUUCUUAAA